rnacentral:rRNA from 1 species
GACGUAGGGUGCAAGCGUUGUCCGGAAUUACUGGGCGUAAAGGGCGCGUAGGCGGUUCGUUAAGUCCUGUGUGAAAUCCCCCGGCUCAACUGGGGAACUGCACAGGAAACUAGCGGGCUUGAGUUCGGGAGAGGGAUGCAGAAUUCCAGGUGUAGCGGUGAAAUGCGUAGAUAUCUGGAGGAAUACCGGUGGCGAAGGCGGCAUCCUGGACCGACAUUGACGCUGAGGAGCGAAAGCGUGGGGAGCGAACAGG